UGUUCUCUGACCAGGUUUGACAAUACUGGCUGAGUGGGAUAAAGAUAGUUCAUAUUCUGUUAUGUUAUAUUUAGUGGUUAUAAUUGUUUACUUUGUCUUAGCAUCAGGUACAGGGCUCGCCUGAUAAGUCAACCCAGGUCACACCUUACAGUUUUUGGGUUUUGACAUGUCGACUGCAAGAAUGAGUAGACGAGAGAACUAGAAGAUAAGCCCGAAAGGACUAACAAAAAGAAGAAGACGACACACCAGAAGAACGUAAUUUUUAAAAAGAAAAAUAAAAGAUUAGUAACAUAACAAGAGCAAACAAGCCAC
rnacentral:lncRNA from 1 species